rnacentral:rRNA from 1 species
UGAGAUAUACCUGCCCAGUGACACAUGUUCAACGGCCGCGGUAUCCUAACCGUGCAAAGGUAGCAUAAUCACUUGCCUAUUAAUUGUAGGCUAGAAUGAAUGGGUUAACGAAAUAAAAGCUGUCUCAAUUAAUCACCUAAAAAUUAUUUUCUAUCUUAAGAAAGAUAGAUAAUCUCGAAGGACAAGAAGACCCUAUAGAGCUUAAUUUAAACUAUAAGACUAAAUUAUAGUAAAAUUCGGUUGGGGCGACCCAGGGCAUAAUAAUCACCCAAUACAUAAAAGAUAAAUAAAUCAAGUAAGUGACCCUUAAAAGAUCAUAAAAUCAAGCUACCUUAGGGAUAACAGGCUAAUCCUACUCAAGAGUCCUUAUCAACAGUAGGGUUUGGCACCUCGAUGUUGGCUUAGGGUAUCUAUAUAGCGCAAAAGCUAUAUAAAGAAGGUUUGUUCAACCAAUAAUUCCCUACGU